AUAUUUUUCAAUUUUUUCUCACUCUCUCUAUCUUCCACAACAAUUUCGACCUACCCCUCUAUUUUUUUUUCCUUUCACUUUCUCUCUCUAAGAAAAUAAAGGGAAAAAAAAGGAAAAAGAAAAAAAUACAAUUUAAACAUUAUCGCAGAAAAAAAUUAAAAUCUCUCCCUUCCCAUCUCUAUCUAAAUCUAAUGGACCCACUUCCUCCUCCACCACCACCAUCUCUACAACCGCCUCCGGCAACGGCUUCAACCACCACAGUCUCCGGCGCCGGUAACUCUGUUACCACCACUUUCCCCGCUGUCUUUCCGGUUCCGGUUCCCACCACAAACACCUCGGCCCCUCCGGCUGAAGCUCAAAACCAUAUAACCCAUGCCGCUGCAAACCCUAGCCCUGGUCCUACUCAUGCCGUCGCUCCUUCCCCUCAUCAUCCUCCGUACGCUGAGAUGAUAUAUACGGCAAUCGGAGCUUUGAAGGAGAAGAACGGGUCGAGCAAAAGAGCGAUAGCGAAGUUCAUAGAGAGAGCGUACACGGACCUACCACCGACUCACUCGGCCUUGUUGACUCACCACCUGAAGCGGUUGAAGAACAAUGGUCACCUUGUGAUGGUCAAGAAGUCUUACAAGCUCCCUAGAUCUGAUUCCUCUUCGGCUUCUGCUGCAUCAGCUGUUCCAGCAGCUUCUUCUUCGCCGACUCCUACUUUGCCCACUGGGGCUUCUCGGGGUCGCGGCCGUCCUCCUAAGCCCAAGCCCACUCUCACAGCCCAACCGAAUCUCCAACCCCUGGCCCAGCCCAUUCCUCAACCCGCCGAAACCAACACCAACAACACCAACACCAACGUCAACAACAUCCAGCAAAACGCUCAGCCGGUUUUGGUAGCUCUUGGGCUCGUCGACGACCCGAACCCCGUACUGGUGAAGAAAAGCCCCGGUCGGCCGAGAAAAGUUGUCACGUCCGUCGGUCAAGGUGUUGGACCGGCGUUUGGAAAGAGGGGUAGGGGUCGACCGGUCGGUUCGAAGGUGAAGAAGAGUCCCGGUCGGCCCAGGAAGCCGAAGUCUGUGACGGCUGUGAUGGGCCCCAAGAGGGGACGUGGACGCCCAUCGAAGGCUGAGCCCAAGACCAUGGUGAUUCCGUACGCUGGUGCUGCUGCUGCGGCGACGACUACGAAUGUGCCUGUGGUAGCCGCAUUUGAGCCCAACACCGUGGCGAAUUCCGUGGUGGCGAUGUCACCGAGGCCCCGAGGGAGGCCCAAGAAGGUUCCGGGUUUGGGCGCCGGUGGUGUUCUUGGUGUUAGUGCUGGGAUUUUGGCUGGGAAACGUCGGGGCCGACCUCCCAAGGUUGCUGGAGUUAUCAAAAAACCCAAGAAACAUGGUGCGAGGCCCGUGGGCCGGCCCAGAAAGAAUACAACAAUCCCAUUUACUGAAGCAUCUGAGUCGCUGUUGGUUGCAAAUGGAGAUCUGAAGAGAAAACUCGAAUAUGUUCAAUUGAAAGUCAGGCAAGCUGUUAUUGCGCUAAAGCCUCAGUUGUCACAUGAAAGUCCAGCUACUGCAAUUGCAGCAGUCCAAGAAUUAGAAGAGAUUGCAACCAUGGACAUUAAUGCCCCAUUUAGAGAAGAACCUCAAGUGCUGCAGCUGCCACUGCAUCAACAACCGCAGCCACAGCAGCAUCCACAGCCACAGCUGCAGCCAGAUCAGCAGCAGCAGCAGCAGCUACUGUUUCAAAAUUGAGAAAUCUAGUUUGCUCCUUUUUGCAUGGUGAUGGAAUUUCAUCAUGAGGAUCGGAAAAAAAUUGUGGGAGAGAGUCUUGCAUGCUGAAGAAGGAUCUGUUGAGCAAAAUAGGAGUCGUUUCUUAGCUAAAAACUUGCAGCAAAGUUGAUUUUGGUUAGCAUAUACGAGUUUGGAAAAUGGCUUUGGUAAAAGAAAGAAAAGCUAUGAUCAGAAUUGGAAGUUUUUCAAAUUGAACUGCUGCUUUGAUACGUGCUUAAUUCUCUUUAAGCGCAAAGUGAGAAAGGGGUAAACUUACUGUGUUCCUUGGUGAAUAUACUUGGUAGCACCAAAGAAUAUGUGAUGGUAAGGUGGUCAGAAAAGUCAUCUUGAGAUUCCUUGGGCUUGAAGCUUCAAGAUCAAGAGAAUUUUGACAUAGCCAAGCAAAGCAAGUGAAUGAGGUUGUAGGCCAUUUUUGGAGCUUGAUGAUGCUGUACGCUUGUACUUGUUUCUGAAUUGAAAUUGUUAGAAACAAAAAACAAGAACACAAAAUCUAGUUACUCUAUUGGCGAGUCUUAGUUUGUGACUUAGUCCGGAAGAUGGUUAAAGGUGCAUCUAAAGAUGGGUCUGUCAAAAUGAUUGUCUGAAACAAUUAUAGAUUCAAGGGGCAUAAAAUUGACAUAAACCAAAUGUGACAGUAAAAAGUUGGUUCCCGCUGGAAA